UACGGAGGAGGCAAGCGUUAUCCGGAAUUAUUGGGCGUAAAGCGUCCGCAGGUGGCAAAUCAAGUCUGCCGUCAAAGACCGGGGCUUAACCCUGGACAGGCGGUGGAAACUACCAAGCUGGAGUACGGUAGGGGCAGGGGGAAUUUCCGGUGGAGCGGUGAAAUGCGUAGAGAUCGGAAAGAACACCAACGGCGAAAGCACUCUGCUGGGCCGACACUGACACUGAGAGACGAAAGCUAGGGGAGCGAAUGGG
rnacentral:rRNA from 1 species